UCCAUCCGAGCCUAGAGGCCUUUGCUACAGAUUGAAGGACCAGGAAAUUUGGAUGAAAUUUCGAGACUUUCUUCUUCUUUGAGAUAUUGUUUUUCAGGCAAAAGAGGAGCUUACAGACAGCAGCCAAGACAGUUAAGGAUUUGGAAAGCAUCUCCAUUGAACAGAUCUUGAGAGAGAUUUAAACUCUCCGGGAAUUCCUUUUCCCGCCUUCAUUGCAUUCUACAAACCUAGGAAAUGAUGAAGAAGAACACAUUGAAUUGAUCGGAAUGAAAGAUACGACAGAUUCUUGAGCUUCGUGAGCUUCAACAGCCAUGCCUCGGCUCCAAUAGACCCUACAAACUCUA